rnacentral:lncRNA from 1 species
CCUGAUUUCCAGUUUGACUUUGGAAUUUUCAAAAUGGCUGCCGUUACCAUGGAAACAGCUAAAAUAUCAAAAAUUCUAACUCUUUCGUUAUAAGAUCCAACUGGAUGAAACUUUAUGAAAAUGUUACUCCAGUAUGCCAAGAUGUCCAAGACAAUAUUUGAAAUAGUUCAAAAUGGCCGCCGUUGUCAUGGAAACUGGGGCCAAGUUUUGCAUUGACCCUAUGGAAAAAUGCAUAAAAUCAGCAUUUUCUCAGAGAGUUAGUUGCACCAAAGUAAAUGAAACUGUAUUGAUAUAUAACAUGACAUGUGGCAAUGAGAUGUCUGCUUUUAGAAUUUUGGAAUUAUCUACUGUAACCAUGGUUGCAGCACAAAUGUUCAAAAUUUCCAAAAAAAAUUAAGUGCUGCAAACUGGAUGAAACUUUACAGGAAUAGUGACUGACAUGUGCGGAGUUGCAUUUUGAAGUUGGAAUUUCCAAAAUGGCCGCCGUAACCAUGGAAACAGCAAAAUUGUCCAAAAUUUCAAAAUGCUCCAAACUUAAUGAAAUUUUGCAAAAAUGAUGACUUGCAUGUGUAGAUGCACUCUUUGACUUUGGAAUUUUCAAAAUGGCUGCCGCUCGCCUGGCAAUGGGGGGACGAGGGUGCCAUCCGUUAUUGCUAGCAAUUACAAAUCUAGUUAUUUUUAUUAUUUUUCUUCCACACAUUUUGUCCAGGAGUUUUAUGGAAAUCCAUUGGACCAAAGUUGAUGGAACUCUUUUAUAUUAAGGACCCUUGGGUGAAGAGUUGCAAGCACCAUUGAAUGGUUCAAGAUGGCUGCCGUUUCCAUGGAAACUGCAAAAAUGUGAAAAAUUUUCAAAAUUCAAAAUUCUUCAUUAUAAGACCCAAGUGGAUGAAACUUUGUGGAAGUG